rnacentral:rRNA from 1 species
GACGAACGCUGGCGGCGUGCUUAACACAUGCAAGUCGAACGGAAAGGCCUGCUUUCCCUUGUGGAUUGCGGGUACUCGAGUGGCGAACGGGUGAGUAACACGUGAGUGAUCUGCCCCCAACUUGGGUAUAAGCCUGGGAAACUGGGUCUAAUUCCCGAUAGGACUGCAGGGUGGUGCCUGUGGUGGAAAACGAUUUUCUAGUGGUUGGGGAUGAGCUCGCGGCCCAUCAGCUUGUUGGUGGGGUAAUGGCCUACCAAGGCGGCGACGGGUAGCCUGCCUGAGAGGGUGGACGGCGACAUUGGGACUGAGAUACGGCCCAGACUCCUACGGGAGGCAGCAGUGGGGAAUAUUGCACAAUGGGCGGAAGCCUGAUGCAGCGACGCCGCGUGGGGGAUGACGGCCUUCGGGUUGUAAACUCCUUUCGACCGCGAGGAAGCCACCUGGUUGGAAGGGUGGUGACGGUAGUGGUAGAAGAAGCACCGGCUAACUACGUG